rnacentral:piRNA from 1 species
UAAUCAUUCAAGGUGCAUCAGACUAA